ensembl:lncRNA
GGUAUGGUAGUGGGUGUCUUUAGUCCCUAUUACUCUGGAGGCUGAGGCAGGAGAAUCGCUUGAACCCAGGAGGCAGAGAUUGCGGUGAGCCGAGAUUGUGCCACUGCACUCCAGCCUGGGCAAAAGAGCAAGAAUUCAUCGCAAAACAAACAAACAAACAAACAAACAAAAGAGAAUAUGUUUCCUGCCUAACAAACAACCAAACACAUAAAUUAAGAUAAUGCUUUAGAGCAAAGGCACACAGUUUGGUGUGUAUUGAGACAAAAAAGAAAAAUCGACUUCCAUUACCUCUCUGUACAGAUUGUGUCCUGCCAUGCAAUAUACUGUCAUUAUAGUGCCUUGUUUGUGGUCAAGUGCUACAUUUGAACCUUCCUCAGAAAAGUGCAUGCAGAAGGGAUUAUUUUUUAUCAAUUUGCAUAAAUAUCACAAGUUAAGUGACAGUGUUUAGGUCUGAAAAUGUUGCAGCUUUCAAAAAUCCCUUACGUAAAUGCAAAGGAAAAACUAUACCUUGAGGACAUUGUCAGUCAACAGUAAGUGAGAAUUAAUUAAAGCAUGGCUGAGAGUAGGGAUUUCAUGGAAUUUAACUUGGGAGGUGUGCUGACAUUAUGAGGAUUGGUAAUGGAUGCUAUGGAGAGCACUGGUAGAAGGAGCAAGAGGUGUUUAUUACUAUGUGGUAGUUACUCAUCCCUGAGUUUUCAAAAUAUCUGCCCAUAUUUGACUAUUAUGUAUCUUUACUUCAAGGUAGGCAGAAGAGAAACUAAUGAGAAAAUUAUCUUUGUCUUCCCUUGCACUGAAUAUUGCAGGCUUUGAUGGUGUUCCUAUGUUUAUUAAAUAUAUAGGUAUCAAAAUAAACAUUUACAACAGUCUUUAGAUGCUGAACUUCAGGAAACUUAUCGAAAUAAUUUUUCUGGCUUCAAACCAGAUUAUAGAAAGCUUCCACUGAGGCAAACACCAACCAGAUGGUGGUAUGAAGAAUAACUAAGCUUUUGCAUCAGGGAACUUCCACAUUCAGAAUAAUGCACACCUAAAAUACACAUCAAAUGGCUAUUAUAUAACACUCUGUUCCUUUGCAACACUAACAAAUGAGUUGUGAAACUAAAAAUGGAAACAGUACCACAUUUGCUUUGCUGUCCUGAUUAAAGUGUUGUCAGAUGUGUGAAACCUUGUUUUCUGUGAGGACCAAAAUAAUCUUGCACCUUUUCUUUCUGCACUUGAUAGCGAAACUCACUUAUGAGCAUUUUAGUUUGGUAGCUCAGCAGUGACAUAUUGCAGGGGUUUUGAGAUACCAGAAUACUUAACAAUUUUUAUGUGACUGAGUUCCAGUGUGCUUUCCAUUACACGGAAUUGCCUCUACUUGUUGCAAGCAUAUUGCUUUGGUAUUUAUACACACAAUAUAUUUAAAAUGAACAUUUGAAAUAGAUUCAUCUAAUGAUGGCAUUUAAAAGGAAAGAACACCUUUUGUUUUCAAUGAUACAUUAGUCAAGCUCUUCUUUGGCUAUUUUUUGUGUGAGACUUUCCUGAAGUUUCACUAUCAUUACUGAAUAAUAAAUCACAGGAGCAGAGAAACCUUUAGCUCAAUUCAUAUCUGAUUUUACUUUAUACAUUACAUAAAUGUCUUCAAAGUCAAAUAACAAAUAGUAUGAACAGUUUAGAAAACAACCACACUUAGGGAAACUUAUUUUUUCAAGCCAUUCUCAUUCAGUUUUCCUUGUUGUUGUUGUUAGAUGCUCUGAUGUAUUUGUCAUCCAAGAAAGCUCAUCAGCCAUUUUCUCCAAAAAAAAAAAACAAAAACAAAAAA